rnacentral:rRNA from 1 species
GACGAACGCUGGAGGCGCGCCUAACACAUGCAAGUCGAACGGACGAGGAGGAGCUUGCUCCUCUGAGUUAGUGGCGGACGGGUGAGUAACACGUGAGCAAUCUGCCCUUAGGAGGGAAUAACGUCUGGAAACGGACGCUAAUACCGCAUAAAGCAGCGAAACGGCAUCGUUUUGCUGCCAAAGAUUUAUCGCCUAAGGAUGAGCUCGCGUCUGAUUAGAUAGUUGGCGGGGUAACGGCCCACCAAGUCGACGAUCAGUAGCCGGACUGAGAGGUUGAACGGCCACAUUGGGACUGAGACACGGCCCAG